AUCAUUUUCUGAUUCAUGAGCAUGAUAAUUGUUUUUCACACACUUAUGUGACAUGUACCUCCCUUAAAUCUUAUUACAAAUUUGGCAUAUUACCCAUGUGAUG
ensembl:snoRNA